rnacentral:rRNA from 1 species
AUGUAUAAUGUGACACACACAUCAGGAUAUCUGAAUAAUUUUGACAUGUUUGCUCUGUUAUCUAGCAGUAGGUUGAUACUUGUCACUUGCCCUUUCCAAAUACAUAUCAGUUUUGUUGUUAUGAGAAUGUUAUAUGCAUGGUUUCUUAUUAGAUCUCAAAUUCUGCAGCUAUGUUUCAUUGUUAGAAGAAUGUUAUAUGCACGGGUACACUUGAUUGUGUUCCCUAACUUUUCUGAUUUUUUGAUUUAUAAUCCGCAGAUUUUGGCCUUCAUUCAUAAAAAGUUUGUGUACAAGGAACUCCAGGAGAAGAAUCUUUAA